rnacentral:tRNA from 1 species
CUGGGGCUAUAUCUCAGUGGUGGAGUAUUUGCCUAGCAUGCACAAGGUCCUGGGUCCAAUCCCCAGCACCAGA